rnacentral:rRNA from 1 species
GUAGGUGGCAAGCGUUGUCCGGAAUUAUUGGGCGUAAAGCGCGCGCAGGCGGUUCUUUAAGUCUGAUGUGAAAGCCCACGGCUCAACCGUGGAGGGUCAUUGGAAACUGGAGAACUUGAGUACAGAAGAGGAAAGCGGAAUUCCACGUGUAGCGGUGAAAUGCGUAGAGAUGUGGAGGAACACCAGUGGCGAAGGCGGCUUUCUGGUCUGUAACUGACGCUGAGGCGCGAAAGCGUGGGGAGCAAACAGGGAUUAGAUACCCUGGUAGUCCACGCCGUAAACGAUGAGUGCUAAGUGUUAGGGGGGGUUCCGCCCCCUUAGUGCUGCAGCUAACGCAUUAAGCACUCCGCCUGGGGAUACGGCCGCAAGGCUG